rnacentral:pre_miRNA from 1 species
UUAUUACUUUCUCCGUUCCAAAUUACUUGUCGCAAAUAUGGAUGUAUCUAGAUGCAUUUUAGUUUUUAGAUACAUUCAUUUCUGCUAUGAGUAAUUUGGAACGGAGGGAGUACUUU